GGGUAGGUGGCAGAGCGGUCAAUUGCAUCGGUCUGUAAAACCGACGCCUCUUAAGGCUACGAAGGUUCGAAUCCUUCCCUACCCA
rnacentral:tRNA from 1 species